GGAGCGGGUCGGACGAUCGCUGGCGUUCGCGCUGGAGGAAGGUCCGGACUCCACCGGGCAGGAUGCUGGCUAACGGCCAGGCGCAGCAAGCCGCAAGGCCCAAGGCGACGGAAAGUGGAACAGAGAGCAGACCGCCCAAGCGGCCGCCGGUUCGCCGGCAGCCGACGGCAAGGGUGAAACGGCGAGGUAAGAGCUCACCGCGGACGUGGCGACACGGACGGCACGCCAAACCCCAUCCGGAGCAACAUCAAAUAGGCACGCGCGCCGCCUUCGGGCGGUACGGACGGCCCGUCCGAGCGUGCGGGUAGAUGGCUCGAGCGGCCGGGUAACCGGCCGCCCAGAUGAAUGAUCGUCACGCCGGUUCGCCGGCGUACAGAAUCCGGCCUAUAGACCCNNNNNNNNN
rnacentral:RNase_P_RNA from 1 species